UACGGGGGGAGCAAGCGUUGUUCGGAUUUACUGGGCGUAAAGCGCGCGUAGGCGGCUUUUCAAGUCGGAUGUGAAAUCCCCGGGCUUAACCUGGGAACUGCAUUCGAGACUGUCUAGCUAGAGUAUGGGAGAGGGAAGUGGAAUUUCAGGUGUAGCGGUGAAAUGCGUAGAUAUCUGAAGGAACAUCAGUGGCGAAAGCGACUUCCUGGACCAAUACUGACGCUCAUGUGCGAAAGCGUGGGGAGCAAACAGG
rnacentral:rRNA from 1 species